CAGACCUCCGACUUUAUAGCCCUUUGGCAGUCAACUUCAGCUUGGGGUAGAGCAGACAAAUCCGCAGUCCUCAGCAGUGAGAUGGACGUGCCACCCCACCCACAGGUCCUGGUUGUCCCUUUUUAAUUAACUGCACCCCUGCCUUAGAGGGAAGAGUGACCCUGAAAAGCUGUUUCAGGAGGUCCAAUCCCAGGGCACAAAGCUCACUCAGCUCAGGAAGAGAGCCAGCGGACGUGGGAAGGGCAGGCAAGAACCUGAGCACAUCAGGUCCCUUGUCCCAGGUUCUCCAAGCUUUCCCAGGUGUAAGACUCCACAAGCAUCCGUGAGCGGGCAGAAGAAACAGCUAGAACCCGUGUCCUCAGGAUGUUGGCUGCUAAAGCCAGUUUCUAAGGCCCCUGUUCCAGCCUGGCCAGCCCUGUUCGCUAACGAAGAAACCUAGUUCCUGCAUCUGAAGCCCUAGUGGAAGGACAGUAGCUGGGCACACAGCUCGGCCCUGAACGGGGACUUGCUCUGCUUCUGCUUCUUCUCUUGUUCCCACAUAAAUAAAGAGUAACCCCU
rnacentral:lncRNA from 1 species